rnacentral:rRNA from 1 species
UACGAAGGGGGCUAGCGUUGCUCGGAAUUACUGGGCGUAAAGCGCACGUAGGCGGUCUUUUAAGUCGGGGGUGAAAUCCUGGAGCUCAACUCCAGAACUGCCUUCGAUACUGGAAGACUUGAGUCCGGGAGAGGUGAGUUGAACUGCGAGUGUAGAGGUGAAAUUCGUAGAUAUUCGCAAGAACACCAGUGGCGAAGGCGGCUCACUGGCCCGGUACUGACGCUGAGGUGCGAAAGCGUGGGGAGCAAACAGG